ensembl:lncRNA
GUGUCUAUUGUCACUCAGGACCUGGACUUUAACUUGCUCCUCUCUUCCAUUCCUCCUAUCACUUAUUUUAUAACUUCAGCCUUUGUCAUGCUUCAGUUCAUGCAGAUUCCACAGAAGUCCUUUCUUUACCUUCUUGCUUUUCAUAUUCCCUCCUCCAUAGCAUCCACGCUAAGUGCAAUCACUGUAGGCAGUGCAGGAAACACAGAAGAGAAUGGAGCUGAGUAAACGAGGAGGAGGACAUGGAGGGGUGAGAUAUGGGGUGGGGGAUGCUGGAAAGUGUUCAAGGGGAAAUGCUUGCAUGACUCACAUAAUUGAAGAGAAAACAAGGCAUAUGAGCAACAUAAACCCUCCACUGGAAAAGAAGAUGGGAAAAGCCUUUAAAUCAUAAUGAAAACUCAAUUCAAACAAGCAGUAAAAGGUAACAAAGAACUAGCAAUGACUCAUCAAGUAAGAUAUAUCGUUUGCUCUAAGUUCUACCAGACACAAGAUAAACCCACUGUCCAGAAACGACCAGCAUAAGAGAGUUCCGUGACCUGUAUAAAACACCUAGGACAAGAAACAGGUAGCAGAAGCCUGGCCUCCAUCAGCUGUAUCCACCUGCUUAUUGCUCCAGGUUGCCUCUACAGUAGUUCCUUGUCUACUGCAGCCUUCAGGGUGACAUGACAACAUUAUAACCGAGGUCCAGAUCUGGGAAAUAUAAUGAAGGCAAAAAAGCACAUUAGAUACCAAAGUACUAAGUAUUAUUAUUUUUAGAAAUCAUCUUACGAACAUCCUAUGGCUUGUUUUGUACUUUUUGGCUACCGUUGCCUAGCGUCCAGGAAAAGUCAAGUCCUUUUUCGGUUCUUUGGAACAUUUUCCCCAUGUUUCUUGUCAUUAAAGAAAAUAAACAUUAGACAAAAGCAGACUUUAUUGUAACUAUAAAUAAUUCAAUGCAGAUGGAUUCAUGGAAAAAUACCAGCAGGCAGAUUUUCAGAGAGAAAAAAAGAGGAAUGCUCUAAGGUCAGAUGGUGAGGAAAACGGAAAGGGUGAAGAGUCAAGAAACCACAAGUUGUCUUGAAAAGAAUAGAUACAAACAAGAAAGUAACAAGUGACAUGUAAAUGAAAAUAAAGGUAACUCGGAAAGGCAACAGAAUGUUUCAAAAGAUUGAAUUUUUUAGUUAUAAGCAUGGCUGUUUCCAAAUGCCAUGGAAAAGAAGUCAUCUACUGCAAGUCUAGGAAGAGAUCUUUUUCAUAGUAUCCCAUAGUGAUUUGUUAUCUUUCUCAUCUCCCCCCUUUAGGAAACAAUUGGCUGUUACUUACAAUGCCAAGACGAUUACUGAACAACAGAUUCUCGCACCUAAUACUUGCUUCAUCUGACAACCCGGACUCAGGUGGUUUUCCAGCCCAGAAGCAAUUCAUCUCGACCUGGCUAAGCUCUCUGGUGUGCAUCACACCCAAUAUGCUGCAAUGCUCUGCCACUGCUCUGCAAAUGAGUAGCAUCUCCCUCAGCCUGGUAAGCACAGUGAGACUUUGGGAUAGGGAGUGAAAACAGAGCAAAAGGCUGGAGUUUGUUAUUAGUUCUUCCCAAGCAAAUUAACUGGGAGCAGCUUUUCAACAUACUUCCUGUGCAUAUUUUCUAUACAAAGAGAGCUUCUCUUGUUUGUUUCUCUCUUCCUCUGGACAGUCCCUUGUGAUGAUUUUCACAGCUCUUAUGGAAGCAGCUCAUUGUUCUGCAGCAACUUAAUUAAAGUGUACUUCCAUGCAAAAUUAGGCUAUUGUAUUUAUUUAAACUUUAUGGUAAUCGCUGUACAAGGGCUGUGUCUGCAUCCGACACCACACACCCACGUCUCUCCCCAUCCCACCCCACCGUCACCACUCCCAAAGGAAAUGGCUCAUCCUGCCCUGGUGUAACUCCUCAUUGACUCAAGUGAUGCAUUUGAACUUUAACCUCUGGACAGCAAUAUUUGCUUGCCAUGCCAGCACCUUUAUGGAUGAAGGGUAUGCAUUGAGUAGCUCUGAAGAGAGAAAUGUGUUGCUUGUGGUUUUCUUCUCUGGAGCUUAAGCUAAUUCAAUUCCGAAAACGGUAUUUCACACUUUCUGUACUAGGUCCCCUGGCCUUUCCUGGGCUGGUUUUCUUUGUGGCCAAGUACUGUAACGCCAUAGGAAAGCUCUUAUUCUUAAAAUCUUUCGAAGUUUAUGAGCUCCACCUACACCAUCUACAAUGUUAAAUGUACAAUUUCAAAGAAAACACAGUUGUCACGUAUCACUUUAUGUCCAAACAUUAUCCAAGUAAAGUGUAAAAUAAAGCUCUGUAAUUUAAUUUCUCUCCUUUUCUUUGGGGGACAGAGGGGUGAAAAGGUGGAGAUCACUGCAAGUUGUUUGCAGAACAUUCCCACACAGAAAUAUGCUGAUUUUCAAAGAGCUGUUAGUAAGUUCAAACCAGCAUCAGAUUUCAUUGACUCCACUAUGGCUGAGUACGUCUAAGCAGAGUUGUGAUGAGGAAUAAAAAUAAAAUAAGUGUAAUUAAAGCAUCCAAGUGAUCUUGGUGCCAAGGUGAUUGGUGUGUAUUAUUUUGUCCACAAAGAAUGAGCUCCCCAGAAGAGUUUUGCUGGAGCUGUGCCAGCAGACGGGAGCUCUGCCCCUCUCC